rnacentral:rRNA from 1 species
AGGAAUAUUGGACAAUGGUCGCAAGACUGAUCCAGCCAUGCCGCGUGCAGGAAGACGGCCCUAUGGGUUGUAAACCGCUUUUGUACCAGAGAAAACCUAUCUACGUGUAGAUAGCUGAUAGCAUGGUAAGAAUAAGCAUCGGCUAACUUCGUGCCAGCAGCCGCGGUAAGACGAAGGAUGCAAGCGUUAUCCGGAUUCAUUGGGUUUAAAGGGUGCGUAGGCGGGCUUGUAAGUCAGUGGUGAAAUCUCUCAGCUUAACUGAGAAACUGCCAUUGNUACUGCAGGCCUAGAGUNGAGAUGANNUUGGCGGAAUUNNNNAUGUAGUGGNNAAAUACNNNGAUAUGUCAUAGAACACCGAUUNNGAAGGCAGCUAACGAAACUAUAACUGACGCUGAGGCACGAAAGUGCGGGGAUCAAACA